GUCGCCGCAGUUCACUAAUAAGUUGGCUGAAAUGUAGAAGACAAACGAGGAGACAAACCAGAACAUGGAUUUAUUGCUGUCUAUUUAUUCGUAUGGCGGAGUUUGUGAACUUCUUUUACACGGUGCUUCAGCUGGAAAUGCUGUUCGGCAGGAUGGUAACUGAAUUUGUGUCAUUUAAAGGGUUAAUAAAAACCCUGCUGUCAUGCUGAAGAAGUCUCAGUUCACACAAUCUCAUCUGAUUUAUGAAUCAUAACGAACCGACUCAGCCGCUCACCGACGGAGCCAGCAGUGUAUCUGUAGCAGGUCCUGAGGAAACCCCAUGUGCCAUGUGGUCUAUGCUGUGGAGCGAGUGAGUCCAUCGUUUUAUUCCCUUUUUUUGGCUCUACACCAGCACCCUGCCCUUCCUGGGCUUUGACCUCACAAUGUGCUGAUCAUCAUUAGGAAUAACCAGCCAUCUUCCGCUGCCCUCAUUCUGCCAAGUGGAGAACGCAAAUGAAGAGGCAGAGACAGUCUGAGUAAAUAGGAUUACUCAGGGUUAUUUAUGGCCGAAGGCUUUGAGAGGUAAAAUAUUAACGUUAGUGAGAGAAUUUUGCUCUCUUGCAAAAAUGUUAUUGCAAAAAGUUCAGAUUACAGCCAUCCAGAAGAUGCUGUUUUAAAGCCAUGAAAGAAAAUGCUGAAUAGCAACUACGGAUAUGUUGAGUUAUUGGCAAGCUGCUGUGUUUUACUGGAAAUAAGUGUGCGAGAAGUGUGUGUGUCUGUCUGUGUGUGUGUCUGUGUGUGUGGGGGUGUGUGUCUGUAAGUGUGUGUGUGUCUCAUAGAGAAAGAGUGAGAUCAAAUUUGUGGUCUGUACCUUGCAGUUGGUUGUUGCAGGUGAGGGUGUGAUAGAGGAAAAAAACCUUCAUUACACACACACACACAUUAUUUUUUCAGCAUGCAAAACAUUAAUUUCAUAAAUGCACUUGUAGAGUCCAGAUUAAGCCACAGUACCUAGCAGUGCAGCUGCAGACUGGUCACAGAGCUCAUGCUGACUCCUGAACACCACUGAAAUCACCUACAAGAGUUAUAUUCUAUUGUUCUUUAGAGUUCAAUAUACAAUACAGUAGUUAAAGGUGGGGUGUACGUUGUUUGAAAGCCAAUGUUGACAUUUGAAAUCACCAAAACAAACACGGCCCUAACCCAAAUGGGUCCCACCCCUGUAUUGAUAGCUCCACCCACACAUACAUACGUAACCCAGGCAAAAAUGGAAAGAACUGUGUCUUUAUCAUAGCUGCAGGGAAGAACAAUACGAUUGCAGAUAAACAAACAAGCAAAAAUGACACACAAGCAUAAGCAUGCAAAGGACGGCAUAUAUUAGUUCUGUGAAACAAAGCAAAACCAACGUUACUCACCUAUCGAGAAGGAAAAAAGCAACCUCGGUGUCUUAAGUAAAGUUGGCCGCAUAUUCACAGAUUGGAGUUUCCCGAGUCAAUAACUCCUGAGCUAAACGCUGUUACUAGCAAAACGCGGUUGUAGCUGCCUCUCUACAUUACUACGAUAGAAAAGAGGUGUUAUUUGUGUAGUAACAGCAUUUAGCUCAGGAGUUAUUGACUCGGGAAACUCCAAUCUGUGAAUAUGCGGCCAACUUCCUGCUCCUUCAGUUCUCUCCAGUGCUGGAAAGCUGAUUCUAUAUUAGCACGGGUCCUACUUCUUGCCUUAUCGUAAGCCUUUCUUCGCUUUCUUUCUUUGUUUUUAUCCGCCAUGUCAAUGUUAAAACCGCUUUCUGCUAAUGUCACACAUGCGCACUGAACACUCUCUCUGCCCAUAUUGAAAAGACACACCCCUUUCUGCUCAUUAGGUACACGUUAGUUUUGUUUUUGUUUUGUUUGGCGGCCCAACACAGUUUUCUGAAGCAUUUCUCAAACAACGGAGACCCCACCUUUAAUAGUUAUUCUCUUUGACUGUGACAUGAAUUGAAAAUAAGUUUUCCUCAAUAACUCAAACACAUGGAUCUACUGUAUUCUGUAUUUCGGGAAAUUUCAGGAAUGAAAAGCUCUAUGGUUCCAAUAAAUAGCCCAAUCGUUCCUGUACACACACGAAUAAUGAGCCGAACAUUUAUAUAUGUAGAAAUGUAUUAAUAAAGUAAAUCUGAGGAUGAUUAUGGAAUGUAUUUUACAGUUAAAAGACUUCCAAUUUCCUUUCGAUUUUACAAACAUAAAUCCUUGAUUUUCUUAUUCUGAUGUACACAAUCCCAUCAACCCCAAACUCCUACCGUCGUGUGUUGAGUGAUCAAAUGUCUACACUUCUGCUCUUGAAUCACAGAAAAAAAGUCCUGUAGAUACUAUAGUCCUGUAUAUGUAUAGUGUAUUGCUCAGCUUCUCUGCAUGACUCUGCUUAGAAACACACCCUUUGAAUUCCCAGAAAUCAUUGCCACUGGAUUUCUAAAGCCUGGCAGUAGGGAGCUCCUUCACCACCAUAGGAAUUAAUCUGGAGCAAUAUCUAAAAGAUUUUCUCCACUUUUUUGUGCCUUCUUUCUGUUCGUUGUUCAUCCCUCAGUUUUUCAUUUGAUCUCUGUGAGGGUCUGUAAAGCCUGUGAAAACCCACAGCGGCUUUGGGAUGUUCACGCAAGAGCUACACUUUGUGGCAUUUACAUUUAUUAAUUUGGCAGACACUUGGCUCCCUUCCAAGCGAGGCAAGGAUUCAGUUCAAAAGUCUUUUUCAGGACUCUUCUGGGACAGAACUUAUAACCUCCUGGACGUUAACUAUGUAAGUCAGUUCACUUACAUAGUUCACUUCAUGUAAGUCAAGUAUUUUCACUUACAAAUGUUUUCUGUAGUUUACAGACAUGUCUUGGUCUCGUUUUUAUGGUGCUGCUCCCUAAAUAGGAACAAAUUUUGACAGAAGGUGGAAAAAGGUCAUAUUUUCACUGUUGUUUUAUCUUCACACCGAACGCUCAGUUGGACGCUCGUGAGGCCAUGUUGUUGCAGAUACACUCACCACAUGCCCAGUCAGUGCCUUUUACAGAUUCAUGUGAAAAACAUCUUUGCACUGCAAAUACAAGUCAAAUUUUACUGUGGAAAAAAUUAAUCUUAAAAUCCAGUUCUGUGCUGUAAAAGCAGAGAUGUUGUAUAGAGCAAGAAGCACGAGAAAUGACUGUAGUGAGACAAAUGAAGGCUUUCUUCAGGUCUGUGUGUGUUUGGGUAACAAUAGCCAAAGUACAUGAAAGCCAGUAGGGACGGCUGUUUGUAAUUAUUUUUACGUAUUUGUGGGAGGUUUUAGGUUAAACCCUGUUAUAAAGGAGAUAUUGCUCUGUCUCCAGAGGUACCUCUAUAACCUGUUAUUAAGCUUCAGUCUCUCCAGGUCUCAUUGCUGAUUUAUAUAGAAGUAGAUUGUAAAGAGUAAAUCAAACCUUCUUCUAGCUCCCAGUCUUCAUCCUUUAACCCUGCAUGCAUCGUUAAUCGGCAAUAGGGUGUGUUUAGAAUGAUGGACUAUUUGAGGGAAUGAAUUUGCCAAUCAUCAUUAAUACCAUUUCUGACGACACAAAUGAUGCUUUAGGACUCACAUUUAUGGACUUACUAAACUCAUUUGGGGUUAAACAAAACAUCACUACAGCAUCUCAUCAUCGUAAUCAUACACUAGAUUUAAUAAUAUCACACAAAAUAGACGUCACUGAUAUAGAUAUCAUACCUCAAAGUGAUGACAUCACAGACCAUUACCUCAUAACGUACACACUACCUGUAGAACAGACUAAUUGUGUCUCACCACGUUAUUGACUCGGUAGAACUAUUACUCCGACUACUAAAGACAGAUUCACAAAUAACCUGCCUGAUCUGUCUGGACAUCUUACUGUACCCUUAGACACAAACGAUCUAGAUGUAAUGACUAACAGCAUAGGUGCUAUAUUCAGUAGCACAUUAGACACUGUUGCCCCAAUCAGAUUACAGAAGGUUAGAGAUAAUAUGCUUGCACCGUGGUAUAAUAGUCAUACUCACACCCUCAAGAGAGAAACCUGUAACCUCGAGCGAAAGUGGAGGAAAACUAAAUUAGAGGUUUUUAGAAUCGCAUAUAAGGAAAAUAUGUCCAACUAUAGACAGGCUCUAAAAGCUGCCAGGGCUGAGCACCUGAGCAAACUCAUAGGAAAUAACCAGAACAAUCCUAGGUUUUUAUUUAACACAGUGGCUAGAUUAACAAAAAAACAGAAAUCUGAACAAACUAUUCCAUCUCAGUUUAGUAGUGAGGAUUUCAUGAGAUUCUUCACUGAUAAGAUUGAAAGUAUCAGGCAUAAAAUAGGUGAUGCUCAACAUACGAAAGCAACUAGUGACCCAGCCUCACCUAAGGCUCUAGACACACAACUACAGUGCUUCACAAGCACAGGACAGGAAGCGUUAUAUAAACUUAUUACAACAGCUAAAUCAACAACUUGUUCACUAGACCCCAUUCCAACUAAAUUACUGCAAGAAGUGUUACAUAAAGCUGGUAAGCCUCUUCUUUAUAUUAUUAACUCCUCGCUAUCUUUAGGUUACGUCCCUAAAUCCUUCAAGUCGGCAGUCAUUAAGCCACUCAUCAAAAAACCCAAUUUAGAUCCAAAUGACCUAUCAAAUUACAGACCUAUUUCACAUCUUCCGUUUAUGUCUAAAAUACUUGAAAAAGGUAGUGUCUGUUCAACUGAGCUCCUUCCUACAGGAGAACAAUAUCCUCGAAGAGUUUCAAUCAGGUUUCAGGCCCCAUCAUAGCACAGAAACUGCACUUGUGAAAGUCACAAAUGACUUGUUCUUAGCUUCGGACAAGGACUGUAUGUCACUAUUAGUCCUACUUGACCUUAGUGCUGCAUUCGACACUAUAGAUCACAACAUUCUCCUAGAUCGUUUACAAAAUUAAACAGGUAUUCAUGGACAGGCUUUAAGUUGGUUUAGAUCCUACCUGUCUGAUCGAUACCAUUUUGUAGAAUUAAAUGCUGUAUCCUCCAGUUUAUUACCAGUCCCUCAAGGAUCCCUCAAGGAUCAGUUCUAGGACCUCUGCUUUUCUCGAUAUACAUGCUUCCAUUAGGGAACAUUAUUAGAAGACAUGGGAUUAGUUUCCACUGCUAUGCUGACGACACAGUUAUAUAUCUCAUCAAAACCAGAUGAAAUAGCUAAAGUGUCCAAAUUAACUCAAUGCCUUAGAGAGAUAAAAGACUGGAUGAGCUGCAAUUUUCUGUUAUUAAACUCUGAUAAGACAGAAAUACUACUUAUAGGUCUAAAAACCAGUACACAGAAACUCUCACAAUUUAACUUCCAAUUAGAGGGAUGUACUGUUACUAGUAGUUCGACAGUGAAAGACCUGGGUGUUAUAUUAGACAGCAACCUGUCUUUUGAAAAUCACAUCGCCCAUACCACAAAAACAGCCUUCUUUCACUUUAGAAAUACUGCCAAGCUGAGAAACAUCCUGUCUGUCUCUGAUGCUGAGAAGCUAGUUCAUGCUUUCAUGACCUCUAGACUGGACUAUUGUAAUGCAGUACUAGGUGGUUGUCCUGCAUCUUUAAUAAAUAAGCUACAGUUAGUCCAAAAUGCAGCUGCCAGAGUUCUCACUAGGACAAGAAAGUAUGACCAUAUAACCCCAAUUUUAUCGUCUCUACACUGGCUACCACUUUAGAAUUGAUUACAAACUGCUGCUACUUACAUACAAGGCUCUUAAAGGUUUAGCUCCCACGUAUCUAACUAGUCUCCUAACACGUUACAAUCCUUCACACUCUCUGAGAUCACAAAACUCAGGACUUCUGGUAGUUCCCAGAAUAUCUAUGUCCACUAAAGGUGGUAGAGCGUUUUCUUAUUUAGCUCCCAAACUCUGGAAUAGUCUUCCUGAUAGAGUUUGGGGCUCAGACACACUUUCCCAGUUCAAAAGCAGAUUAAAAACUUAUCUCUUUAGUCAGCAUACAUAUAAUACAUCCCAUAAUCUUGUGCACUAUUACAUUAGACUUGCACAAUUUUAUGAACAGCAGAUAUGUUAACUCCACUGCUUCUCUCUUUCUACCCAUCCCGAGGCAUCCAGACAUUGUACCAGCUUAGAUCGUCUUCCGUGCGAUGAAGAUCUCGGAACUCCACUGAGAUGAGGCCGACUCUGUGAGAAUUCUGAGACAUCUACAGAUCUACCAGCUCCAGUUGGACUAUGUGAUACUAAGAGGAGAUCUGAACUCCAUGUGAUCCUUACACCAAUACAGCAUUUAUUGACUGUAUAUUUGUAAUCACACCCUCUAGUGUCACCCAUAUGAGGAUGGGCUCCCCUUUGAGUCUGGUUCCUCUCAAGGUUUCUUCCUUGCCAAUUUAAGGGAGGUUUUCCUUAAGUCUGAGUCACUUCAGACUUGCUCAUUGGGGAUAAAUACAUAUACAUACAUACAUACA